UAGGGAAUCUUCGGCAAUGGACGAAAGUCUGACCGAGCAACGCCGCGUGCGUGAAGAAGGUUUUCGGAUCGUAAAACUCUGUUGUUAGAGAAGAACAAGGACGUUAGUAACUGAACGUCCCCUGACGGUAUCUAACCAGAAAGCCACGGCUAACUACGUGCCAGCAGCCGCGGUAAUACGUAGGUGGCAAGCGUUGUCCGGAUUUAUUGGGCGUAAAGCGAGCGCAGGCGGUUUCUUAAGUCUGAUGUGAAAGCCCCCGGCUCAACCGGGGAGGGUCAUUGGAAACUGGGAGACUUGAGUGCAGAAGAGGAGAGUGGAAUUCCAUGUGUAGCGGUGAAAUGCGUAGAUAUAUGGAGGAACACCAGUGGCGAAGGCGGCUCUCGGGUCUGUAACUGGCGCUGAGGCUCGAAAGCGUGGGGAGCAAACAGG
rnacentral:rRNA from 1 species